rnacentral:rRNA from 1 species
GAUGAACGCUGGCGGCGUGCCUAAUACAUGCAAGUCGAGCGAACGGACGAGAAGCUUGCUUCUCUGAUGUUAGCGGCGGACGGGUGAGUAACACGUGGAUAACCUACCUAUAAGACUGGGAUAACUUCGGGAAACCGGAGUUAAUACCGGAUAAUAUUUUGAACCGCAUGGUUCAAAAGUGAAAGACGGUCUUGCUGUCACUUAUAGAUGGAUCCGCGCUGCAUUAGCUAGUUGGUAAGGUAACGGCUUACCAAGGCAACGAUGCAUAGCCGACCUGAGAGGGUGAUCGGCCACACUGGAACUGAGACACGGUCCAGACUCCUACGGGAGGCAGCAGUAGGGAAUCUUCCGCAAUGGGCGAAAGCCUGACGGAGCAACGCCGCGUGAGUGAUGAAGGUCUUCGGAUCGUAAAACUCUGUUAUUAGGGAAGAACAUAUGUGUAAGUAACUGUGCACAUCUUGACGGUACCUAAUCAGAAAGCCACGGCUAACUACGUGCCAGCAGCCGCGGUAAUACGUAGGUGGCAAGCGUUAUCCGGAAUUAUUGGGCGUAAAGCGCGCGUAGGCGGUUUUUUAAGUCUGAUGUGAAAGCCCACGGCUCAACCGUGGAGGGUCAUUGGAAACUGGAAAACUUGAGUGCAGAAGAGGAAAGUGGAAUUCCAUGUGUAGCGGUGAAAUGCGCAGAGAUAUGGAGGAACACCAGUGGCGAAGGCGACUUUCUGGUCUGUAACUGACGCUGAUGUGCGAAAGCGUGGGGAUCAAACAGGAUUAGAUACCCUGGUAGUCCACGCCGUAAACGAUGAGUGCUAAGUGUUAGGGGGUUUCCGCCCCUUAGUGCUGCAGCUAACGCAUUAAGCACUCCGCCUGGGGAGUACGACCGCAAGGUUGAAACUCAAAGGAAUUGACGGGGACCCGCACAAGCGGUGGAGCAUGUGGUUUAAUUCGAAGCAACGCGAAGAACCUUACCAAAUCUUGACAUCCUUUGACAACUCUAGAGAUAGAGCCUUCCCCUUCGGGGGACAAAGUGACAGGUGGUGCAUGGUUGUCGUCAGCUCGUGUCGUGAGAUGUUGGGUUAAGUCCCGCAACGAGCGCAACCCUUAAGCUUAGUUGCCAUCAUUAAGUUGGGCACUCUAAGUUGACUGCCGGUGACAAACCGGAGGAAGGUGGGGAUGACGUCAAAUCAUCAUGCCCCUUAUGAUUUGGGCUACACACGUGCUACAAUGGACAAUACAAAGGGCAGCGAAACCGCGAGGUCAAGCAAAUCCCAUAAAGUUGUUCUCAGUUCGGAUUGUAGUCUGCAACUCGACUACAUGAAGCUGGAAUCGCUAGUAAUCGUAGAUCAGCAUGCUACGGAGAAAUACCUUCCCGGGUCU